CAAAAUCUUUUAAAUCAAUGAUAAUUGAAUCUACAUAGUUAAAAGAUCACUAAAGAGAUCACAAGAUAGAGAGUGCAAUCCCUGUGGUGGGAGCAUCAUAGUUCCCAUCAUAGUUCCUCAACAAGCAGAGAUCUGUUGAUAUUAUUUUUCGCCUCAACUGCGAUGCCUUUCAAGUGUUGUAUCUUCAAUCUUAGACCAGGUAAAUUAUUUUUGACACUUUUUGAUCCCUAAGUAUAUCACAGAUCAACGGGAAAUUUGAUAUGAUCCAAGAGUCGAGCCCGACGAAGGCAAGUGCGAGACGAGAGAGACGAGACCCGUUGAUAGUCGAUGGCGGACCAAUGACGCGAUCAAGGGCAAAGCAAGUAAAAUAAGCGAUGGGAUUGCUCGUUCAAGAAACCAUUGAUGGAACCAUGUUCGGGAUUCAAAAUGGAGCAACUUUCAUGUUCGGGUCGAAGGCCGAAUCAAUUUGGAUCAAUUUGUUAUCAAGCGAUGAAAGCAGAGGCUGAAGACAACACCAUGCAGCCGCACAAGGCAAAACCACAUGCGGCCGCACACACGCAUACCGAAAACAAAAAAUGCAAUUUCAGUUGAACUAUGAGACCACAUGGAUUUACACCAUGCGGCCGCACAAGCCAAAAAUUUGGAGAAUUUUUCAAUUUUGGCAAAUUUCCAUAUUUUGUUAGAUUUUGAUUCUUUUCCAUAUUUUGGAGAUUAUGCUCGACUUUUGCACGAUUUUUACCUAGUUUUUAGGUUUAGUAUAAAUAGGAGUUUCCAUUCAAUUGUUCAAAAACCUUUGACAUUAUUGAUAUUGAAUUAAAGUAAA
rnacentral:lncRNA from 1 species